GGUCGAAUGGUGUAGUUGGUUAUCACGUCAGUCUAACACACUGAAGGUCCUCAGUUCAAUCCUGAGUUCGAUCA